CGGCAGGCUUAACACAUGCAAGUCGAGGGGCAGCAUAAUGGAUAGCAAUAUCUAUGGUGGCGACCGGCGCACGGGUGCGUAACGCGUAUGCAACCUACCUUUAACAGGGGGAUAACACUGAGAAAUUGGUACUAAUACCCCAUAAUAUCAUAGAAGGCAUCUUUUAUGGUUGAAAAUUCCGAUGGUUAGAGAUGGGCAUGCGUUGUAUUAGCUAGUUGGUGGGGUAACGGCUCACCAAGGCGACGAUACAUAGGGGGACUGAGAGGUUAACCCCCCACACUGGUACUGAGACACGGACCAGACUCCUACGGGAGGCAGCAGUGAGGAAUAUUGGUCAAUGGACGCAAGUCUGAACCAGCCAUGCCGCGUGCAGGAUGACGGCUCUAUGAGUUGUAAACUGCUUUUGUACGAGGGUAAACGCAGAUACGUGUAUCUGUCUGAAAGUAUCGUACGAAUAAGGAUCGGCUAACUCCGUGCCAGCAGCCGCGGUAAUACGGAGGAUUCAAGCGUUAUCCGGAUUUAUUGGGUUUAAAGGGUGCGUAGGCGGUUUGAUAAGUUAGAGGUGAAAUUUCGGGGCUCAACCCUGAACGUGCCUCUAAUACUGUUGAGCUAGAGAGUAGUUGCGGUAGGCGGAAUGUAUGGUGUAGCGG
rnacentral:rRNA from 1 species